rnacentral:lncRNA from 1 species
AACGGCCGGUAAACUUUGAGGGCGGCGAUGACGUCGGCAAUGGAGCCGGCGGCGGCGGCAAUGGACACAAUUAGGCAACCGACGCUGAGCAUCUGGAGGCAGAUCCACUUGGUGCUGCCGCGAGGCACACGGCGCUGCUUGAUGUACAUCUCGACGGGGAAAUAGACGGUGAGCGGCCAGAAGGAGACGGCGCCGAGGAAGCCGACGACGUUGCCGAAGAAGGGGAGGAGCAUCGCGACGACGGUGGUGACGCACACGAACGCCGACCGCCACGUGAGGCGGAACACGCUGAGCGCGAAGGGGCCCACGCGGACCUCCUUGGAGAUGAAGGCGCUGUCCGGCCAGGCGGCGGCGGCGCGGCGCUCGACGAAGGCGAAGAUGGGCUGGCAGAACACCUGGUAGGCGCCGACGAGGUGCACGACGAUGGCGACGUUGGCGACGUCGAGGAGCCAGAAGGGCUCGUAGAAGCCGAAGCCUGUAAGGAGGUUGUCCGGCGCGUUGUCUCCGAACGCGGCGUAGCCCAUGCACCCGCACAGCAUGUAGAAGAUGGUGGUCGUGGCCACGCUCAGCCGCGUGGCCUUCUGCAUCACCUUCGACUCCGACGGGGGCGGCGCCUUGAUCGUGUCCUGAAGAAGAAUUAAACAGAGCAAGCCUUGAUUAUUAGGAACAGAGGAAUCUCAAGUUGACUGAAGAAAUUAAAUCAGAGCAGAGCAUACCUGGAUUUCGAUGAGGAUGUUGGAGAAGGAGUAGGCGAAGGCGAUGUCGCCGAAGGCCUGCAGGCUGUGCCAGAUCUUCUGCGUAGAGGUGACGUCGGCGCCGAUGCUGACGCCGGUGAGGCUGCCCUUGAAUCCACCGUUGGCUGCAAUUGCAUUAAUUUUGGGCAUAUGUCAGGAACCAAGAAACUAUCAAUCACUUCACGUCUUAACGGAUACCUUGACCAACCCGACUGAAUCAAGAACUUACAAAUUGUCUGUGCGAUGCCGAGGGAGAGUCCGAUGGAAGAAUAGGUGAAGGACAUGACGGCGGCGACGAUGGAGAGCCACCAUAUCUGAUCAAAGUCGGGUAUCUGCGAGAAGAGGAUCUGAACAACGCCGAAGAGGAUCAUGUACGGUGUGCUCGAGCUCUUGCACGGGUCGGCGUGCCCGUUGGUGUGGAAGCAAUCGGCUCUCCUGAUGGCCCUCAUGCUGAUUGACGACGCGAUGGUGUAGCCGAUGGCGACGCCGACGAGGUUGGCGUACUGGAUAACACCGCAAAACACCACCUUGGCGCCGCCGAGGUUGGAGCGCACGGCGUCCAUGUAGGUGUAGUUGCGCUUCCCGGUCUCCGGGUCGCCGGUACGGUAGCACUCGGCGAGCAGCGUGGCGGUGUAGUAGGUGACGAAUGCGAACAGCAGCAUGGCGGCGGGUCCGGCGACCCAGCCGAGCUGCGCGAUGGCCCAGGCCAGCGAGAGCACGCCGGAGCCGAUGACGGCGGUGAUGAUGUGCGAGCUGGCCGUCCAGAACGUGCCCGUGCGGCGCGGGCGGCCGUCGUCGUCCAGCCACUCGGCGGCGCCGGCGUUCCCGGCCUCCACCGACACCUCCAUCGGCGCCACGUGGUUCGUGCCGUUGUGCACCGCCAUGGAUCAAUAGUACCGAGCUCCUUCUCUCAGCGUUCUCGUCCUCGGACUUAACAGCUAGCUGCUAAGAAAGUGUGGUGUGAAGGGAGGUGAGCGGAGGUGGUGCCGUGGUGGUGUGUGGAAUGGAAUGGAAGGAGGUGGCCUUUAUAUAGAUGGGAUGAAGGUAUGAAGCAGAGGAGCGCUGCGCUGCGCGUCGUCGUCGUCGCGGCGGGAGGCGCUCACUCUGGUCAGCGCGUUUGUCUGCGCGUGCCCUAUACAUCACUUUCUAUCUUGAUCAUUGGAGUCUUGCGUUGACUAUGGUCGACGGUUUUCUUUGGAGGGCGAACGCUGGUGCAGGAACGUGGUUGUCUAUCUUAGUCGGUCGCAGUUGUACGUUUAUAUAGGGUGAAAUUGGUGAUUGUGAUCAUCUGGGACUCUAACUUGAAUUACAAGAAGAACCUAUAAGCAAUCCGAGUCAAUUUCUAAGAUCACAACAGUACUAAUCCUUUUACAAACAUAUCUCUAACACAGCCCAACUAGGAAGGGAACACCCUGUAACAUGCUUUCGAGAAAUUGCAUUGCAUGUUCUUAAUAAUCUCAGAAUUUGCCGGAAUUUCAUGUGCAUAGAUACAGUUUAGCACGAGGAAAGAAGGCAAGGAAUGCAUGGAAUUUGCAGGGCCACAGACACCCCAUGUUCUCUAAACUCACUCCGGCAGAAAGCCAAACUCAUCUCCAGACUCCGGCCAGUGCGUUGGAUUCGGCGGGGAGCAGGGCCACGAGUUCCACGACGCAAAACAGCGACCUCCGGCGAGCGGUGGUGCGUGUUGGGGCCAGACGGCGGGGCCGGGCCGGCUGCUCGACGCGCCGUUGGGCCGCUGGCCGGCAGCUCCGUUUCCCUUUCUUUCUUUCUGAGGUAGGUCAAGCGCGUGCACGACGUCAUACCUUAUCCCCGCUCUCUUCGUGCUUGCGCUGCGCAGACAGUGACCGGAGCGGCCGGCCAGCAGGUGACCACGGCGCCACUGCGCGCCGGCGACUCGCAAGAGUCUCCCGGGUCAGCCGGCGUGCAGUUUGCGGGAAAGCGUAGUUCUUGCAGCCUGAACUCGAGGCUGCCGCCUAUCCCCCAGGCCCCAGCAGACAUACAUUCGUUUCUGACGAAACGGAGUGAACUGGACCGCUCCGUGCCUGCCGGGCCAAAAUUGCAGGCCUCAUGUAGUCAUGUUGGGUCAGCUGGCUCGGGGCCUCGGGCCAUCUGGACAAACGUAGCCAGGGGCCAUGCUAACGGGUGCGCGCCUGCCCGAAAGCUUCCCAGCCAUAGAUCCCCCACAACUCUCACUCGAACUUUUUGUUUUUGAAAAAAUUUAAUUUCCGCAACUUAUCAUUUUUAAAAUUUCAUAACUUAUACAUAUAAUUUUGACGCAUAACUUCGUAAUUUUUCAACACAACUUUGGUGGCAUGCAAAAUUUAUAUGUAUAACUUCUACUUACAAUUUCUAAAGAAUAACUUCAAAUUUUUAUUUUUAGAAAGUUAUAACUUAUGCAUAUGAUUUAUACGCAUAAAUUUUUCCUAUCAACAAAUUACGUGAUAAUUUUUUAGCAUAAUUAUCGUGAUAUAAACAAUUUGUACGCAUAGCGUCUGCCACAAUUUUUAUGAGAAUAUUAUUAAAUAACUUAUCUACAGAACUUAUACACAUAAACGAUAUUUACUUGAUUACAAAUAAUGAUAUGGAAAAGAAAUAAUCAAAUGAAAAAACAAGAAAAGGAAAAGAGCAAUCGGCGUGCACAGCACCGCGCUUCCGCGUGGGGGCAGCACUGGCAUGGCAGUAGAGCCCCUGACCGCCCGCAGCUCCGCGUCACGCAUCACGAAGCGAGCUGACGCGCGCGGGAUCAGCUUCGUGUAUAUCCAGCCACAACAAUGCCUUCGUUUUUUUCUCUUUUGAUAAGGGAAGUUUCUAUUUUGUAGUAUCCAAUUCAUUAGUGUUUCUUCCUGCUGUGGCUUACAUAUCCUAUUUUGAUGGAAUUAAUCCUAACUUUAUAGUUUAAUCAGGCUUGGACCAGCUUACGAUCGUUGUCACUUCAAAUGUAACAUCUCCAAGUUAAUAUUUUUCCAUGAAGCGAGAAAAUAAAGUGUAAAAGAGGUGUACUAUGCAUGCAUAUGCAGGUUCAUUCCACGUGAGAACUGGGCCAUACUUCCAGCCUCUAUGGAUUAUCAGUGUGACCCAUGUUACCCGAGUAUGUGAGAUGCUCUAGGCUUACCUAUAUGCAUAUAAUUGUAUAACAUGGUUGCCAAUCGUCUCUUCUACUUGGGGAGUGCUCAACUGUGCUAUAACCUGCUAUUUAAAGUGAGAUACUCCUUAAUUACAUUAAAACAUGCAUCGUUUUAUUAUUUUGAUGUAUUUUUCUGAUGAAACUUAUAGUCCUUUGGAGUAUUUCAAUAAAGGAUGCAACUUACAUGGUUGCCAAUCGUCUCUCCUACUUAGGAAGUGGACCUGCUGUUUAAGGCGAGAUACAUCUUAAAUACCUAAAUUUGCUUGUAAAUUACACACCUCUAUCAUUUUUAAAUAACAUAAAAUAUUCGUAAAUCUGCAUUUAAAGUACCUAUAUUUGUCAUUAAAAAAUAUUGCAAAGCACACAAAUAUAUGACGUUGCAUUACUUAUUUUCAAUAGUAACUUAUACUAUACAGGCAUGACCAUACAUGAUGCGAUGAGAAUGCCGAUCUUCAUGGAUUAAAUUAAACACAUGUCAAAUACAUAUCGAGAUUUACAAAGUGAACAAAACUAUGAACGUGCAAGGAGAAGUUUAAAAAGCAGUUCUCCUUCCCAUCUUCAAACAGUUAUUGUUUCAUUCAGCGACAGGGUCGCCAAGCCACUACGUACUUUGGUCACGAUCCAAUAGUAUUAGACAUGUUAAAUAUAGUAAAUAUAUAAUAUUUUGAAACAACUGUUGAAGACAAAUCUGUGAUACCAUUUUCAAUAGUUUUUUUUAAUAUUCGAGGAGAUGAUGAUGGUUCAAAACUAAAAUAUGUUGACUCCAUGCAUCUCAAAAGGACAAUUGUUUAAAAAUUGGAGGCAGUAAUCCCUAACUAAAAUCUAUUAAAUUAAUGAGAGAAAGGAUGGGAGGAAGAAAGAGAAGGGUGUAAACAGUUCAAAUUAUUAGCUGCAUGCCAUAAUUUUUUUAACUUUUAAUACUUAUUUCUUUCAAAAUUACUUAGUUCGUGCGGUAACACAGGUUGAUAAACUAAUGUGUAUAAUUGAUAUAUUGGCAUAUGGUUGACGCGUUAAACUUUCGAGAGAAAUAUUACUUUUGCAUAUCAAACAACUCUUUAAGAGAAUGAUUCAAUGUAUUAAGAUCCUUCAGAAUUACACGGGACGACCUACUAGAAUCAAUAGUGGGGUACAUUUGGAACCACUAUGCUCGCUUCCUAUGGCGUCCAAAUGUGUGCAAAUCAGUGGUUAUCCUGAUCAGGAUUGCUCUGUUGGUAUCUACUAUCUAGAACAACUGUUUAGAGUACCUCUGUUUGCAUCAGGUUAGCUAUACUAUACUUCCACCUUGUCCCAAAUUGUAAGUCGUUUUAGAUUUCUAGGUGUAUAGUUUUUGCUAUACACCUAAAUAUAAUGUAUGUCUAGAUGUAUAGAAAAGUCAAAACAACCAACAAUUUAAAAUGGAAGGAGCAGGCUACAUCACGUCCUAAGUUAACCACUGAACGGCCGGUAGACCUUGAGGGCGUCGAUGACGUUGGCAAUGGAACCGGCCGCGGCGGCGAUGGACACAAUAAGGCAGCCGACGCUGAGCAUCUGGAGGCAGAUCCACUUGGUGCUGCCGCGUGGCACACGGCGCUGCUUGAUGUACAUCUCGACGGGGAAGAAGACGGUGAGCGGCCAGAAGGAGACAGCGCCGAGGAAGCCGACGACGUUGCCG